CGCGUAGGCGGUCUUUUAAGUCGGGGGUGAAAGCCUGUGGCUCAACCACAGAAUUGCCUUCGAUACUGGGAGACUUGAGUUCGGAAGAGGUUGGUGGAACUGCGAGUGUAGAGGUGAAAUUCGUAGAUAUUCGCAAGAACACCGGUGGCGAAGGCGGCCAACUGGUCCGACACUGACGCUGAGGCGCGAAAGCGUGGGGAGCAAACAGGAUUAGAUACCCCCGUA
rnacentral:rRNA from 1 species